UACGGAGGGGACUAGCGUUGUUCGGAAUUACUGGGCGUAAAGCGCACGUAGGCGGAUUGUUAAGUCAGGGGUGAAAUCCCGAGGCUCAACCUCGGAACUGCCUUUGAUACUGGCAAUCUCGAGUCCGGAAGAGGUGAGUGGAAUUCCUAGUGUAGAGGUGAAAUUCGUAGAUAUUAGGAAGAACACCAGUGGCGAAGGCGGCUCACUGGUCCGGUACUGACGCUGAGGUGCGAAAGCGUGGGGAGCAAACGGG
rnacentral:rRNA from 1 species